GGCUGCCUGGGUCCCUAGGGCGCGCGCCCUCGGCCUGCCCGGCCCGGGCCCUCCCGCCGGCUCCACCUGCGCGCUGGGUCUCGGGAUGUGCCCGUCCGAGAUGGGGACGCUGUGGCACGUGUGGUCUCCCGUGCUCAUCGGCCUGGCCGCCCUUUCCUCCGAAGUGACCGAGAGCCGGGGCAUCCUUGAGAGCAUCCAGAGGUUCUCCCUGCUGCCCACCUACCUGCCGGUCACCUACCACAUCAACAACGCCGACGUGUCCUUCUUCCUGAAGGAGGCCAACCAGGACAUCAUGCGCAACUCCAGCCUGCAGUCCAGGGUCGAGUCCUUCCUCAUCUACAAAUCCAAGCAGCUGCCGGCGCUCAACGCCAGCUAUGGGCCCUUCUCCAUCGAGCAAGUGGUGCCCCAGGACCUGCUGCUGCCCGCCAACCCCUUCGGCUUCACCAACACGUUUUCCCUGAACUGGAAGCUGAAGGCCUCCAUCCUGCGGGAGAAGAUCUACCCCAGCCGUCCCAAGGUGCAGGUCCUCUUCCACCUGGUAGGCCGGGACUGGGACGACGCGCGGCCUGCGGAGAGGCUGCCCUGCCUGCGCGUCUUCGCCUUCCGGGAGACCCGGGAGGUGCGGGGCAGCUGCCGGCUCGCCGGGGACCUGGGCCUGUGCGUGGCGGAGCUGGAGGUCCCGGCCGCGUGGUUCAGUGCCCCGACGGUGGUUGCCGGGAGGAGGAAGGCCGCGGAGCAGCCCGAGGGCAGCCCGGUGGAGCUGUACUACUCCAUGCAGCCGGGGGACGCGCGUUGGGACUGCGCCCAGGAGGACCGGUGGAGGACCGACGGCAUUCGGACAGGUCACAAUGACAUCGAUGAGUCUGGGCCGCCCUUGCACAGAAUCGGGAGUGUCUUCCUCUACCAGACCCACGGCAGCCCCACCCUGAAGGAGCUGCGACUGGACAGCAAUGUCGCCGUGCACUACGUCCCCAAGACGGCUCGACAGGGCGACGUGCUCACCUUCCCCAUCUUGGUCUCGAGAAACUGUACAGAGGACCGUUUUACGCUGAGGGCCAAGGUGAAGAAAGGCGUGAGCAUUGCCGGGGUGAGGGCCAGCAGCCCCUCCAUCUGGGACGUCAAGGAGAGCUCGGAGUCCGCCGGGAAGUACGCACCCGCUGUCAUAGUGUGUCACAAGAAAUCUGCUGCCUCGGCAAACGGAGUGUUCCCGGCAGUCAUGGGGCUCAUCGGUUCUCCUGACACCCAGAACCGACCCACACAAGCUUCGGUAGCCACAGCGGCACGAAGCUACCACAGUGAGCGGCCCCGCUCCUGGGCAUGCGGAGCCUGCUGAUGGCCUGAGAGUCCCUGUGACCUCCUCCCGCCUGGGGAUUGUCACAGAUGCACAUGGGACCACUGGACCCAGUGUGCCCCAAAGAGCUCGGAAGAACAUGGGCGUGACCUCGGGAGCCCUUCGGGCCCUCGCAGUCCCCCGAUCUGUGGUGGCCAGCAGAAGGACGCCCCCUCCUGAGAGCCCACGCUGCCCUCGCUGUGAGGCCAUCAAGAGCACCGGGAGGAGGAGAUGCUGACUCCGGUGAGGCUGUCGCCCGUGCGAGCCGCCCCGACCACCCUUUACCCUCAGAUCCACGUUUGAUUCCCCAGGGUCCCAGACAAGAGCAGGACUGAGGCAGCACUGGGGGCGUCCCCAUUUGUGUAUUUCUUAACAAGGCCCCCAAAGGCGUCAUUUUGGACAAAUCCCAAGUUGACCCCGCAGCGGUGGGAUAAGGAGGUGGAACUGGGGGACUCUGACGCUGGGGAACCCGAGGUCAGAGGCAGGACGCCGCCACGGGCGCCGUGGGGCCAGUGUGGGAGUGGUUGCAGAGGGAACUGAGUGUAGUCCACACAGCUCGUGGUCCACGCGGGUCCCUGUCGCCUCCGCUGGGGACAUGUGGGCCCAGGUGUUGGCAGCUGUCCUUCGAGCCUACAGCGCCACCGUGAGGGGAAGCAGAAGCCCAGGCUUGGAUGAGUCUCCCCUGGGCGGCUUCUUUCCCCCUUCCCAGCUCUCCGCGCACUGCGCAGACUGGAGCGUGAGCCUGCCCUGACUCCCGGGCGCUGGCUGCGAUGUUACAUCCGCGCAGCUGAGCCGCGUGCUCCUGUGCAGCGCACUUUGACGGGCUCACGACAUGUGCCAGCUGGGCGGAGCCUUCUCCUCGGGGGCCUCUGCAUCUCCGGCCCCCAGGGUCAGAAAUGUGUGCGGUGCCGGGUCCUAGUGGAGUCUUAGCUCUGGAGUUGUAAAGUUUACGCUCUGCAAUGAACCAGGUUAAGCAGGUGGUGGUGAGCUUUAGGGCCUGAGCUUGGUUUAUCUCGGUCUGGUCUCCUCCGUCACCAGGAAGCCUCCUUUUGCCCACUUGGACUGAAUUCUUUCUCCAUCUGGGGCACAGUCUUCUCUUUUUGUUUGUCUAGUUUAGCUUUUUCCAUAAUUGCCCCAAACUAGAGAUAAACCGAUAUCCCUAACCCAGUGAGCAGAUGAACAAGCUGCCCCCUCCCAGCCAUGGAAUACAACUCACCAAAGAAAAAGAGCAGGCUACUCAUUCGAAAACACGCAAAGCCCCAGCAAGUGCGCUGAGCGGAAGAGGCCAGACACAGCGGACGCCGUGUUGUUAUGACUGCAUUUUUAAACAAUCUGGAGUUCUCCACAGAAUGGAUUUUUGCUUCUCACUGGGAUCAUCUAAAUGAUCCACAACCUGAUUACUUUUUUCUUUCCGAAUUACUCUUAUUUUCCUUUUUAAAAUGUACAAAUUCUCUCUUUUGCAAGUCUUUAAAAGCUCUUUCUUCUCGAAGGAGCCCUUAGCUUCAACUUAAGUGCUUCAUGGUCAGAGGCAGAAGAAACGAUGUAUUAGUCAGCCCCCUCUUAGUGCAAGGAGCACCGGGGCGUUUUCAGCUCACUGCUUUGAAGACGUUUGUUUCUCUAAGCAAAAGAUCCCGAUCAAUAAACACCGGUGGCCCUGG
ensembl:lincRNA